UCGCUAUCGACCCACUAGGUUCGAUUAAUUCUUUCAAAUAUUUUUCCUCUCAGACGACGCCCUGAGCCGAGGUUCGCGCCCAACUGGGCACCCUCAGGCCUGUUGUCUUAAACGUUGUACCAGGUGAGAGCCUUCAGCGCUCCCCAUUUGUCCG